GUCUGUAUCCUCCUGCUCUCUGUACCAAGACCACACAAUAGUCAGAGAAGCCUGGUCAGGACCCGGGCCCCAGUCCUCACCUUGUGGCCUCCCACAGGAAGGGGCCCUGGACCUUCUGAAGAAGCUGCACAGCUGCCAGAUGUCCAUCCAGCUACUACAGACAACCAGGAUUGGAGUUGCUGUUAAUGGGGUCCGCAAGCACUGCUCAGACAAGGAGGUGGUGUCCUUGGCCAAAGUCCUUAUCAAAAACUGGAAGCGGCUGCUAGACUCCCCUGGACCCCCAAAAGGAGAAAAAGGAGAGGAAAGAGAAAAAGCAAAGAAGAAGGAAAAAGGGCUUGAGUGUUCAGACUGGAAGCCAGAAGCAGGCCUUUCUCCACCAAGGAAAAAACGAGAAGACCCCAAAACCAGGAGAGACUCUGUGGACUCCAAGUCUUCUGCCUCCUCCUCUCCAAAAAGACCAUCGGUGGAAAGGUAAAGGAAACCACAGCUUUCUCCAUCCCAGUGUCCUAUUCAGCCUGUGUCCCCUUCUCUGUUUUUAUGGAGGAAGCCCAAGGCAGAGGAAAGGAGGGAAGGAA
rnacentral:sRNA from 1 species